rnacentral:rRNA from 1 species
GACGGAGGUCCCUAGCGUUGUUCGGAAUUAUUGGGCUUAAAGCGCGUGUAGGCGGAGCGGUAAGUACCUUGUGAAAUCCCCGGACUCAAUCCGGGAACUGCUCGGUAUACUGCCGUUCUCGAGGCAGGUAGGGGUCACUGGAACCUUAGGUGGAGCGGUGAAAUGCGUAGAUAUCUAAGGGAACGCCUGUGGCGAAAGCGGGUGACUGGGCCUGUCCUGACGCUGAGACGCGAAAGCGUAGGGAGCAAACGGG